rnacentral:rRNA from 1 species
GUGGACCUCGGAUCAGGUAGGGAUACCCGCUGAACUUAAGCAUAUCAAUAAGCGGA